AGGCUCUUGUCGGAGUGCCGUUUGGCUGAGACCGCAGUUGUAAUGCGGGAUCCGUGGAACCUGAUCAGGUUAAUACCUGCGAAGGGAACAAGAGUGGGUUUUCC
rfam:Plesiomonas shigelloides 302-73 genomic scaffold scaffold00002, whole genome shotgun sequence.